GAUGAACGCUGGCGGCGUGCCUAAUACAUGCAAGUCGAACGCAUAGCGAAAGGUGCUUGCACCUUUCAAGUGAGUGGCGAACGGGUGAGUAACACGUGGACAACCUGCCUCAAGGCUGGGGAUAACAUUUGGAAACAGAUGCUAAUACCGAAUAAAACUUAUUGUCGCAUGACACAAAGUUAAAAGGCGCUUCGGCGUCACCUAGAGAUGGAUCCGCGGUGCAUUAGUUAGUUGGUGGGGUAAAGGCCUACCAAGACAAUGAUGCAUAGCCGAGUUGAGGGACUGAUCGGCCACAUUGGGACUGAGACACGGCCCAAACUCCUACGGGAGGCUGCAGUAGGGAAUCUUCCACAAUGGGCGAAAGCCUGAUGGAGCAACGCCGCGUGUGUGAUGAAGGCUUUCGGGUCGUAAAGCACUGUUGUAUGGGAAGAACAGCUAGAAUAGGAAAUGAUUUUAGUUUGACGGUACCAUACCAGAAAGGGACGGCUAAAUACGUG
rnacentral:rRNA from 1 species